CCUUUGAUAGCUAUGUUGGUAGAGCCGGAGGACUGUAGGUUGAUAAGUGUAGGCAUCCUUAGGUCGCUGGUUCAACUCCGGCUCGAAGGA
rnacentral:tRNA from 1 species